GUGCGAAAGCUGGGGAGCUAAACAGGAUUAGGAUACCCUGGUAGGUACCUACCGGUCCGGUAAACGGAUCGUCGACUAGGCCGUUGGGGAUUACCUUAGAGAUCUUAGUGGACGCAGCUAACCGGCGAGUAAGUCGACCGGCCGUGGGGGAGUUAACCGGCCGCAAGGUUUAAAAACUACGAAAUGAAUUCGACCGGGGGGGCCCCGUCACAAGCGGUAGGAGCAUGUGGUUUAACUUCGAAGCCAACGACGAAACGGUAACCUUACCAGGACCUUGACA
rnacentral:rRNA from 1 species